CAUGUGGCCACUUGUGAUGCAAGACAGAGGCAGGACUGAGAAGACGAGAGGUGGGCUUCGUUCCUGAGAAUAUCCAGGAGUCCAAGAGAUCUAAAUUGGAAGAUGGCCUUCCAAUUUAGGCAUGGACAUUCACUUUUGCAGAUGAGGAAACAAGAAUUCAGAGUUGAUUUGCACAUACGAAGCAAAACAAGUGAGAUCCAAGCCUCCAGACUCUACAACAGAUGCUUCCAAUAUCUAUGUCUAAUGAAGUAAACUACUCUGAAAAUCAAAAUGUGUA
rnacentral:lncRNA from 1 species